AUUGAACGCUGGCGGCAUGCCUUACACAUGCAAGUCGAACGGUAACAGGUUAAGCUGACGAGUGGCGAACGGGUGAGUAAUGUAUCGGAACGUGCCCAGUCGUGGGGGAUAACUGCUCGAAAGAGCAGCUAAUACCGCAUACGACCUGAGGGUGAAAGCGGGGGAUCGCAAGACCUCGCGCGAUUGGAGCGGCCGAUAUCAGAUUAGGUAGUUGGUGGGGUAAAGGCCUACCAAGCCUACGAUCUGUAGCUGGCCUGAGAGGACGACCAGCCACACUGGGACUGUGAAACGGCCCAGACCCCUACGGGAGGCAGAAGUGGGGAAUUUUGGAGAAUGGACGCAAGUCUGAUCCAGCCAUGCCGCGUGCGGGAAGAAGGCCUUCGGGUUGUAAACCGCUUUUGUCAGGGAAGAAAAGGUUCUGGUUAAUACCUGGGACUCAUGACGGUACCUGAAGAAUAAGCACCGGCUAACUACGUGCCAGCCGCCGCCGUAACAC
rnacentral:rRNA from 1 species